CCCUAGAGGACUCAAGAAUGAUAAGAUUUGAAUUCCUUGGGGUUAACUGCCCGUGAAAGCAACUUGUUUCAGGCUUUGUGUCAAUUUUGCUGACCAGUGUUAUCUUAUUUUUUCUCUCUCUCCAAUUUUUUUUCUUUUGUUUUGUUUCAUUAUUAUAUUUCUUGCCCUCAUCUAGUCUUUUCUUCCAACUUUUCAGAUGUUUCAUCAUGAUCCUAACGCGUUUAGCGUUAGUGUGAAGGUAGGGGAACGGGAAUAUAUUGGCACCGGACCCACUUCAACUGCAGCAAAAGAGCUGCGGCUUUAAAAGCAUUGAAUGAACUUAAGAAACUUCCCAUUAGCGAAAAUAAACCAGAAAUAUCUAAUUCUAUAGAUGGCGUUUCAAAAGAAAUUGAUUCAGCAGCCGAACUAAAAUCCCCAAUUUCUCUUGUAUAUGAAUUAGCACUGAAACGAAAUUUAGAAGUGGUUUUUGACACAGUUGAAGAAAAGGGACCUCCACACAUGCGCAUUUUGUGACGAAAUGCCACGUAGGUGAUGCUUUCGAGACGGUAGGGGAAGGUAACUCCAAAAAAGCAUCGAAAAAAAGGCUGCAGAAAAAAUGCUAGAGGAUCUGAAAAAGUUGCCCAUAACAACGACAAUCAAUCCCUCAGGAUUUGUCGUGAAGAAAAAAUCCACCAAUAACAAGAAAAAACGAAACUUAAUCAAGGAACACAAGACUGACGAACAGGACAAUACAGAGGCUAAUCCUGUCUCAAAACUCAUCCAACUUCAACAAGCAAGAAAAGAACGUGAACCUGUUUUAUCCUAAAGGACGAGCGGUCGAUGGGAGCUUACAAAAGAGAAUUUUCUAUGGAGGUAAUUGCAUGAUUUACUAGCCCUGUGUUAAGUUUGACAGUAUUCCAUAGAUGUAUCUUAUUAGAAAAACCAGAAAAAGGUCAUGGAGGUUAUACUAAAAGGUCUAAAACCAUUUAUUUUUCACAGAGGUAAAAUUUCAUGCCAAAGGAAUGUUUCUUCCUUGUAGUUCUACUAAUUGUAAGAUUAAGUAGCCUCUAAUUCGUUUCAAAGCAAAUGGAAAUUAUUAUGAAGAUAGUGAAUGAAAUUUAAAAUGAUGGGAAAAAAUGAAAAUAGAGCCUAAGUUUGAUUUGCUGCAAAACAUGUAUACAGUGAUUCAUCUUGACUGUUUGGUAUGCCAAAGAAAACAAUAUUGAACAUCUGUCCUGUCCUCUGCAGAUCUUCAAUGAAAAAAUAUAAAAUAAUUAUUUAAACCAAUCUAAUCAAGGCGCAGCUCUGCUUUUGCUGUCUAUCCUUGAAUUACCAAAGCUUGAAGUUAUAUUAUUCCCUUUCUCCUGUAAUGUUCUAGCUGAUUGUGCUUCCACCAACGGCAUUGAUCUACUGAUAAUCAUCUGGGUCAAUGACAGCCAAGUUAGAAAAAAUCACAAUUAAACUGCGAAAAGUUCGAAACAAAAAAAAUGUACAAAAGCACUGUAAAAAUGCUUUCUCUCAAAUUUUAGACAUUUUUGGGAUUUUGCUGACACUGCAGAAAAAUUUCAUGCAUUUCACUGCACAUUUUGCUAAUUCUUGUUGAUCUUGCACCGAAAUUGAAUUUUAUUUUGCAUUAUUCCACUUAUUAUUUUUACAAGUUGAAGAUCAUAAUCAAUUCUCAUUUUCAUUUUCAAUUUAAUUGGACAAUUUUCAAAUUUCUGGAAAAUCUUACUGCGAUUCCUGAUAACAAUACCCUUCAACUCUAACCUUUUUAUCUUCAUUUUUUAGGUGUCAGUCGGUGACGUCGCAGAAAUUGGAGUAGGCCCAACAAAAAAACUGGCAAAGCGUAAUGCUGCAAAAAAAUUGUUAUUAAAGUUAGGGCAGGUGCCAACUGCACCUGUUAGGCCAAUAAAGAAUGAUGAUAAGGUAUGAAAACUUUUUCAAUUAUCAGUUUUUAUCGGAAACAUAAAUCUAAACCUAAAAAAGUACAGUGAAAUCUGAAUAAGUCAGAUUAUUGAUUAGUAAGUAAAUCAGAAAAGUCAGAUUUUUAGUGAUCGUAAUGGUGAUCUGAGGGCAUCGAAGUUACUCCAAUUUUGAUCAAAUUUGAACGUUAUAAAUUUCACCCUGACAAGCUUACUAUUGCUUUCAGAUGCUUGAAACCGUUUUGUGCUACUAAUACUAUCCAAAGUUAUUUUGUACCCUACGGUCUUUUUUCGUAUGAUGGUUUAAA
rnacentral:lncRNA from 1 species